CGGAGGAAAAGAAACUAACAAGGAUUCCCCUAGUAGCGGCGAGCGAAGCGGGAAGAGCUCAAAUUUAUAAUCUGGCACCUUCGGUGUCCGAGUUGUAAUCUCUAGAAAUGUUUUCCGCGUUGGACCGCACACAAGUCUGUUGGAAUACAGCGGCAUAGUGGUGAGACCCCCGUAUAUGGUGCGGACGCCCAGCGCUUUGUGAUACAUUUUCGAAGAGUCGAGUUGUUUGGGAAUGCAGCUCAAAUUGGGUGGUAAAUUCCAUCUAAAGCUAAAUAUUGGCGAGAGACCGAUAGCGAACAAGUACCGUGAGGGAAAGAUGAAAAGCACUUUGGAAAGAGAGUUAACAGUACGUGAAAUUGUUGGAAGGGAAACGCUUGAAGUCAGACUUGCUUGCUGAGCAAUCGGUUUGCAGGCCAGCAUCAGUUUUCCGGGAUGGAUAAUGGUAGAGAGAAGGUAGCAGUUUCGGCUGUGUUAUAGCUCUCUGCUGGAUACAUCUUGGGGGACUGAGGAACGCAGUGUGCCUUUGGCGGGGGUUUCGACCUCUUCACACUUAGGAUGCUGGUGGAAUGGCUUUAAACGACCCGUCUU
rnacentral:rRNA from 1 species